rnacentral:rRNA from 1 species
UACAGAGGGUGCAAGCGUUGUUCGGAAUUAUUGGGCGUAAAGCGCGUGUAGGCGGCUUUGCAAGUCGGGUGUGAAAGCCCUCAGCUUAACUGAGGAAGUGCGCCCGAAACUGCAUUGCUUGAGUACCAGAGAGGAUGGCGGAAUUCCCGAAGUAGAGGUGAAAUUCGUAGAUAUCGGGAGGAACACCGGUGGCGAAGGCGGCCAAUCUGGAUGGAUACGUGACGCUGAGACGCGAAAGCGUGGGUAGCAAACGAGG